ACGGGUGAGUAACGCGUGAGAAUCUACCUACUAGUGGAGAAUACCCUCGAGAAAUUGAGGUUAAUACUGCAUACGUCCCGCAAGGGAGAAAGAUGGCCUCUUUGCUGUCGCUAGAAGAUGAGCUUGCGUACCAUUAGCUAGUUGGUAGGGUAAAGGCCUACCAAGGCUAUGAUGGUUAGCCGGCCUGAGAGGGCGAACGGCCACACUGGAACUUAGACACGGUCCAGACUCCUACGGGAGGCAGCAGUGAGGAAUAUUGCGCAAUGGGCGAAAGCCUGACGCAGCGACGCCGCGUGGAGGAUGAAGGUCUUCGGAUUGUAAACUUCUGUUAAGCGGGGCGAAAUAACUUGUUAUAAUACAGCAAGGAGAUGACGGUACCGCUAGAGAAAGCACCGGCUAACUUCGUGCCAGCAGCCGCGGUAAUACGAAGGGUGCGAGCGUUAUUCGGAUUUAUUGGGCGUAAAGGGUGCGCAGGCGGAAUGUUAAGUCAAUUGUUAAAUCCAUCGGCUCAACCGGUGGGCUGCGGUAGAUACUGGCAUUCUAGAGAGUGGGAGAGAGAAGUGGAAUUCUCGGAGUAGCGGUAAAAUG
rnacentral:rRNA from 1 species